rnacentral:misc_RNA from 1 species
GAUGAAGAACGCAGCGAAAUGCGAUAAGUAAUGUGAAUUGCAGAAUUCAGUGAAUCAUCGAAUCUUUGAACGCACCUUGCGCCCUUUGGCUAUUCCGAAGGGCAUGCCUGUUUGAGUAUCAUGAACACCUCAACUCUCAUGGUUUGCCAUGAUGCGCUUGGACUUUGGGGGUCUUGCCGGCCUAUGGGUCGGCUCCUCUCAAAUUAAUCAGCUUGCCAGUGUUUGGUGGCAUCACAGGUGUGAUAACUAUCUACGCUUGUGGUUUUCCAUCAGGUAACCUUCAGUGAUGGAGGUUCGCUGGGGCUCAUAAAUGUCUCUCCUCAGUGAGGACAGCUUUUUUGAACGUUUGAUCUCAAAUCAGGUAGGACUACCCGCUGAACUUAAGCAUAUCAAUAAGCGGAGGA